rnacentral:misc_RNA from 1 species
AGAGAAAGAGAGAGAUUAUUCUUACACCUUGGCUUAAGGUGUAAUUAUUUUUAACUUAUAGGAGGGGAAUGAAAAAGAAUGACUACACUUCCUUUCCCUUCCAUUUUAGGCUUUGACAUGCACAGUGUUAAUGACUUGGCAGGAAGUACCAGUUCCAUUGAAAAAUUUUAUUGGUCAACAUGUGUAAUUAAGAUGGCUAUUCUUCGUUCUUGUUGGCACUCUCUAUGAGUCACCUAAUGCUUAGUUGAAGAGGUCACCCUAUGCGA